rnacentral:rRNA from 1 species
UACGGAGGGUGCAAGCGUUAUCCGGGUUCACUGGGUUUAAAGGGUGUGUAGGCGGGCUGUUAAGUCAGUGGUGAAAUCUCCGGGCUCAACCCGGAAACUGCCAUUGAUACUAAUGGUCUUGAAUUUUGUUGAGGUAGGCGGAAUAUGUCAUGUAGCGGUGAAAUGCUUAGAUAUGACAUAGAACACCGAUUGCGAAGGCAGCUUACUAAGAAAAUAUUGACGCUGAGGCACGAAAGCGUGGGGAUCAAACAGG